GGUGUGGCUUCUUGUGGUCGGGUCCUCAUCUCUUUGCCAUGGCUCCUAAUGAUAAAGGCACCAGGUAGCCUUACUCUGAAUCUGAUUUAGCCUUUCCAUAUGUAUAUUCUCUGUGUAUCAUACAUAUUUGUUCUCAAGAUAUAUUUACCUGAUAUAUUGUAACUUCUAAUUAAAUUUGUCAUGCUACAUCGAGUUCUAUUUUAAUUCGCAGCCUUUCCAUAUGUAUAUUAUCUGUGUAUCAUACAUAUUUGUUUUCAAGAUAUAUUUACCUGAUAUAUUGUAACUUCUAAUUAAAUUUGUCAUGCUAUAUCGAGUUCUAUUUUAAUUCGCAGACAGCUAGGAGAUAUCGAAGGUCGUUUGGUUUCCAAAUUGGUGGCUGUGCUAUAUUGCCUAUUUCACCGAAUUGUCCUGUUUAGAC
rnacentral:lncRNA from 1 species